GCCUCGGUGGUCUAGUGGUCAAGACGCUCGCCUUGAAAGCAGGAGAGCGUGGGUUCGAUCCCAAUUGAGAUG
rnacentral:tRNA from 1 species